CAAUAGCGUAUAUUAAAGUUGUUGCAGUUAAAAAGCUCGUAGUUGAAUUUUUGCUUGCCGCCGAUGUCGGAACUUCCGUACGUUCGGCGGCGUGCAUCCUUGGGUGGAACCUGUGUGGCAUUAGGUUGUCGUGCAGGGGAUGCUCAUCGUUUACUGUGAAAAAAUUAGAGUGUUCAAAGCAGACUUACGCCGUUGAAUAUAUUAGCAUGGAAUAAUAAGAUAGGACCUUGGUACUAUUUUGUUGGUUUGCGCACCGAGGUAAUGAUUAACAGGGACAGUUGGGGGUAUUCGUAUUCCAUUGUCAGAGGUGAAAUUCUUGGAUUUCUGGAAGACGAACUACUGCGAAAGCAUUUACCAAGGAUGUUUUCAUUAA
rnacentral:rRNA from 1 species